AUGACCAGAGACAACCUUAGGAAAAGGCAGAUCAUCAAGCCAUUAGACUGUGUAUUUUGUUCUGAAACUGAAACUGUUCACCAUCUUUUCUUUGAUUGUGUGGUAUCUAAAUUUGUGUGGAUAGUCAUUAGAGAACAUUUCAAAGUAAAUGUACGUACUGAUUAUUUGUCUGUCUCCAAAUUUUGGCUCUCAAAGAAAAAAAGAUCUUCUCUUAAUGUUGCAUGUGCACUUACCAUGUGGUGCAUAUGGAAGAUUAGGAAUUCCAUUAUCUUUAACAAUACCACGUGGAUUUCUGUCAAACAGGUCCUAGGGAAGAUGCUGAGUUUGACCAAGAUCUGGGCGAUCCUAGCUCCGGAUCAGGAGAGGGAAGUUUUGGGAAACUUCUUGAGCUUCUUAAAGGAAAAAGUGAAGGCGCCGUUGACCAUGAAGAGUGGCUGA
rnacentral:rRNA from 1 species